GACGAACCGUGCGAACGUUAUUCGGAAUCACUGGGCUUAAAGCGCGUGUAGGCGGGGCGGUGCGUCGGCCGCUGAAAUCCCCCGGCUCAACCGGGGAAGGGCGCCGAGACGACCGCCCUGGAGCGACGUAGGGGGGACUGGAACUUCCGGUGGAGCGGUGAAAUGCGUUGAGAUCGGAAGGAACGCCCGUGGCGAAAGCGAGUCCCUGGACGUCGGGCUGACGCUGAGACGCGAAAGCCAGGGGAGCAAACGGGG
rnacentral:rRNA from 1 species